AGACACAGAAAGUAUUUGGAUUCCGGACAAGUACUCAACCAGUGAUUGAAAGUGGAGAGAAGGACAAGUUGUUCUGUCAAAGGCUAGGUUGUCACAAUGCAACCGUGUCUGACUGUGGGAAAAGCUGCGACUGGCUCCCAUGGAGAAAUUUUCUACAGUGUUCCCCCCCAUUCCCAGAGGAAUUGUUUACAGCAAAAAUCUGCAGUCUCUGCUCAACUGUGCUACCCAGCAAAAAGCUCUCGCCAUGACAGGCUCCCCCUUGUUCAGUCAGGAGGACUCCAGUGUAUCUCGUCUUGAUUAUUGAUAGGGAAUCGCUAAGGUGAGAACACGUCUGUGGAAAAAAUGGUAUAGUCUGGAGUCAUAUUGUCUGUUUUCUGAAGUUUCCACCAAUUUCGUGGCCUCCAAAAUGCAUCACUUUCCUGUUGCCAUUCUACCUAUGGAAUACAAACAAUCUCAGUAAGGUAUCCUGAUAACGAACAGACCUAAAUAUCAGGGUUUUCAUGGACAAGUAAGUUCCAAAAUCUUCUCUUACAGAGAAUAUCCUGCCAACUAUUAUUUUGUCUUGCAAAAGUGGGAUUGUAGCUCAGGUAUUUUACUGUAAUUACUAUGGCUGUAGCUUAGCACAGAGAAAGCAAUGGACAAAAAUCAUUUAGUAGGGCGUUACAGAUCAGAAACAAACACACGGAAAUUCUGCUUUCAAAUCUUCUGAUGACUGGGAUUGCUCAAGUUCCUAUGGCAAAUAGUUGUUGAUUUAGUGCCUAAAAUGUUUUAUUAGACAAAUCAAGCCAAGAAAACAGAUAAAACCAGAUAUAUUGUGGAUAACUAUGUAUUCAGAAAGUUAUGUAGGGAUAUGGUGGGUUCUCUUUCGGUAAGACUUAAGGUCAAGCUGGGAUGUUUUUGAAAACUUCUUUAGUUCAGCCAGAAGUUACGAUCUGUGUGAGGCAAAAGAUCAGAAUGACCUCCUGGUGAUUUCUUCAAUCUCAAAAAUUAUGAAUGCAGGAAAAUAUGUACAGAAAUGGAUUAAAAAAUUAUCAUCCUCUGGUAACACUUGCAGUCGCUUUGAAGUGACUUGUGUAUAUGUAUAUAUAGCGACUAAGGCAGAAGGCAAGGAAGAAUUGGUUUUGAUAAAUUAGAUCUCAGGAAAAGGCAGGAGUGUCAAAUUAGCAUUCAAUGAGUAUGUCAGUGGAGGUUAUGGACCAGAACGUCAGGGAAGAUCAGAGUUUAGUCAAUUAGACUGCUAUCACAAUAUUCCCCAAAG
rnacentral:lncRNA from 1 species